AUUCAAAUAGUUUAAGUUAAAAUAUUGAUUUGUGGUGUCAAAGAUAUAAAUUUUAUUUUGAAUA
rnacentral:tRNA from 1 species